AGUGAACGCUGGCGGUAGGCCUAACACAUGCAAGUCGAACGGCAGCACAGUAAGAGCUUGCUCUUACGGGUGGCGAGUGGCGGACGGGUGAGGAAUACAUCGGAAUCUACUUUUUCGUGGGGGAUAACGUAGGGAAACUUACGCUAAUACCGCAUACGACCUACGGGUGAAAGCAGGGGAUCUUCGGACCUUGCGCGAUUGAAUGAGCCGAUGUCGGAUUAGCUAGUUGGCGGGGUAAAGGCCCACCAAGGCGACGAUCCGUAGCUGGUCUGAGAGGAUGAUCAGCCAAACUGGAACUGAGACACGGUCCCGACUCCUACGGGAGGCAGCAGUGGGGAAUAUUGGACAAUGGGCGCAAGCCUGAUCCAGCCAUACCGCGUGGGUGAAGAAGGCCUUCGGGUUGUAAAGCCCUUUUGUUGGGAAAGAAAAGCAGCAGGUUAAUACCCCGCUGUUCUGACGGUACCCAAAGAAUAAGCACCGGCUAACUUCGUG
rnacentral:rRNA from 1 species